rnacentral:lncRNA from 1 species
AAAACAACCUCUAGUCCCCUUACUUAUUGGGGCAUUAUUGUACUUUUUUCCGUAUUUUCCAAACCUGGAGUGGCUAGAGGGGUGGAUCGAGGGACUCGACCUCUUUCUUCUCCUACUAGGACUUGUUCUCUUCAUUUGCGGGGAAGAAAAUGAAAGACUAGAAGAAUUACAACAUCCGGGGGAGAGCGACGUCUAUGGUCGGGCACUGGAGAAGCAUAGCCGCUAAGGCACCUUUUCUUAGUGGUGGAUAAGGUUUUUGGAAACGGGGGAGUUGGCUGAUAAAGAUGGACAGUAA